CGCAUCUGUGCAUGCAGCAUAUCAAUAAGCGGAGGAAAAGAAACUAACAAGGAUUCCCCUAGUAACGGCGAGUGAAGCGGGAAGAGCUCAAAUUUGAAAUCUUAAAGGGUUUCCCUUUACGAAUUGUAGUUUAAAGAAGUGUUUUCUGUUGAGGUUUUGGUAAAAGUUCUUUGGAAUAGGACAUCAUAGAGGGUGAGAAUCCCGUAUUUGACCUUUACUUUCAACUUUGUGAUACACUUUCAAAGAGUCGGAUUGUUUGGGAAUGCAGUCCAAAAUGGGUGGUAAAUUUCAUCUAAAGCUAAAUAUUGGCGAGAGACCGAUAGCGAACAAGUACCGUGAGGGAAAGAUGAAAAGAACUUUGAAAAGAGAGUUAAAUAGUACGUGAAAUUGUCAAAAGGGAAGCGUUUGACACCAGUGUUGUUUUUCUGAAAAUCAAUUAAAGAACUGUUUAUGCUAAGUUGUUUAGACUUUAUCAGCUAACUGUUUAGUUUUGAGCUUUUCUUUAAUGCACUUUUCAGUUAACAAGUCAACAUCAAUUUCUUUUGCUGUAAAAAAGCUUGAGGAAGGUGGCUUGAGAUUCGUCUUAAGUGUUUAUAGCCUCUUGCCUAUGCAGUCGGAGAGAUUGAGGUCUGCAGCGUAGAUCCUUCGGGGCUAAAUGCAUUUGUGCUAAGUUAUAGCAUUUUAUAGACAACUUGUUGACUAUGAUUUGUCUUGUAGCUUACUCGCUUAUGUUAUUCUACCUACGCUUAGGAUGUUGAGCGCAUGAGAUAUACGC
rnacentral:rRNA from 1 species